GACGAACGCUGGCGGCGGGCUUAACACAUGCAAGUCGAACGAACGCCUUCGGGCGUUAGUGGCGCACGGGUGAGUAACACGUAGGCAAUCUACCCUCGGCUGGGGAAUAACCAGGGGAAACCCUGGCUAAUACCGCAUAACAUCUGGACGUCGCCUGGCGACCAGAUCAAAGCUUUAUGUGGCCGAGGAUGAGCCUGCGUCGGAUUAGCUAGUUGGUGGGGUAACGGCCUACCAAGGCGACGAUCCGUAGCGGGUCUGAGAGGAUGAUCCGCCACACUGGCACUGAGACACGGGCCAGACUCCUACGGGAGGCAGCAGUGAGGAAUAUUGCGCAAUGGACGAAAGUCUGACGCAGCCACGCCGCGUGCAGGAAGACACCCCUCUGGGGGCGUAAACUGCUUUUAUACGGGAAGAAGGCCCUCCUCGGGAGGGAUUGACGGUACCGUACGAAUAAGGACCGGCUAACUCCGUGCCAGCCGCCGCCGUAAU
rnacentral:rRNA from 1 species